GCGCACUUAGCUUAUUUGGUAAAGAGCAUCACUCAUCAAGUUUGAGGGCAUGGGUUCAAAUCCCAUAGUGCACA
rnacentral:tRNA from 1 species